GGGUGACUGCGUACCUUUUGUAUAAUGGGUCAGCGACUUAUAUUCUGUAGCAAGGUUAACCGUAUAGGGGAGCCGCAGGGAAACCGAGUCUUAACUGGGCGUUAAGUUGCAGGGUAUAGACCCGAAACCCGGUGAUCUAGCCAUGGGCAGGUUGAAGGUUGGGUAACACUAACUGGAGGACCGAACCGACUAAUGUUGAAAAAUUAGCGGAUGACUUGUGGCUGGGGGUGAAAGGCCAAUCAAACCGGGAGAUAGCUGGUUCUCCCCGAAAGCUAUUUAGGUAGCGCCUCGUGAACUCAUCUUCGGGGGUAGAGCACUGUUUCGGCUAGGGGGCCAUCCCGGCUUACCAACCCGAUGCAAACUGCGAAUACCGAAGAAUGUUAUCACGGGAGACACACGGCGGGUGCUAACGUCCGUCGUGAAGAGGGAAACAACCCAGACCGCCAGCUAAGGUCCCAAAGUCAUGGUUAAGUGGGAAACGAUGUGGGAAGGCACAGACAGCCAGGAUGUUGGCUUAGAAGCAGCCAUCAUUUAAAGAAAGCGUAAUAGCUCACUGGUCGAGUCGGCCUGCGCGGAAGAUGUAACGGGGCUAAACCAUGCACCGAAGCUGCGGCAGCGACGCGUAUGCGUUGUUGGGUAGGGGAGCGUUCUGUAAGCCGUUGAAGGUGGCCUGUGAGGGUAGCUGGAGGUAUCAGAAGUGCGAAUGCUGACAUAAGUAACGAUAAAGCGGGUGAAAAGCCCGCUCGCCGGAAGACCAAGGGUUCCUGUUCAACGUUAAUCGGAGCAGGGUGAGUCGACCCCUAAGGCGAGGCUGAAAAGCGUAGUCGAUGGGAAGCAGGUUAAUAUUCCUGCACUUGGUGUUACUGCGAAGGGGGGACGGAGAAGGCUAGGUUAUCCGGGCGACGGUUGUCCCGGUUUAAGCGUGUAGGCUGAUAUCUUUGGUAAAUCCGGGAUAUCUUAAGGCUGAGGCGUGACGACGAGCCACUACGGUGGUGAAGUAACUGAUGCCCUGCUUCCAGGAAAAGCCUCUAAGCUCCAGGUAACACGAAAUCGUACCCCAAACCGACACAGGUGGUCAGGUAGAGAAUACCAAGGCGCUUGAGAGAACUCGGGUGAAGGAACUAGGCAAAAUGGUGCCGUAACUUCGGGAGAAGGCACGCUGGCGCGUAGGUAGAGGGACUUGCUCCCCGAGCCGAAGCCAGUCGAAGAUACCAGCUGGCUGCAACUGUUUAUUAAAAACACAGCACUGUGCAAACACGAAAGUGGACGUAUACGGUGUGACGCCUGCCCGGUGCCGGAAGGUUAAUUGAUGGGGUUAUCCGCAAGGAGAAGCUCUUGAUCGAAGCCCCGGUAAACGGCGGCCGUAACUAUAACGGUCCUAAGGUAGCGAAAUUCCUUGUCGGGUAAGUUCCGACCUGCACGAAUGGCGUAAUGAUGGCCAGGCUGUCUCCACCCGAGACUCAGUGAAAUUGAAAUCGCUGUGAAGAUGCAGUGUACCCGCGGCAAGACGGAAAGACCCCGUGAACCUUUACUAUAGCUUGACACUGAACAUUGAGCCUUGAUGUGUAGGAUAGGUGGGAGGCUUUGAAGCGUGGACGCCAGUCUGCGUGGAGCCAACCUUGAAAUACCACCCUUUAAUGUUUGAUGUUCUAACGUAGGCCCGUAAUCCGGGCUGCGGACAGUGUCUGGUGGGUAGUUUGACUGGGGCGGUCUCCUCCCAAAGAGUAACGGAGGAGCACGAAGGUUGGCUAAUCCUGGUCGGACAUCAGGAGGUUAGUGCAAUGGCAUAAGCCAGCUUGACUGCGAGAGUGACGGCUCGAGCAGGUGCGAAAGCAGGUCAUAGUGAUCCGGUGGUUCUGAAUGGAAGGGCCAUCGCUCAACGGAUAAAAGGUACUCCGGGGAUAACAGGCUGAUACCGCCCAAGAGUUCAUAUCGACGGCGGUGUUUGGCACCUCGAUGUCGGCUCAUCACAUCCUGGGGCUGAAGUAGGUCCCAAGGGUACGGCUGUUCGCCGUUUAAAGUGGUACGCGAGCUGGGUUUAGAACGUCGUGAGACAGUUCGGUCCCUAUCUGCCGUGGGCGCUGGAGAAUUGAGGGGGGUUGCUCCUAGUACGAGAGGACCGGAGUGAACGCACCACUGGUGUUCGGGUUGUCAUGCCAAUGGCAUUGCCCGGUAGCUAAGUGCGGAAAAGAUAAGUGCUGAAAGCAUCUAAGCACGAAACUUGCCCCGAGAUGAGUUCUCCCUGACUCCUUGAGAGUCCUGAAGGGACGUUGAAGACUACGACGUUGAUAGGCCGGAUGUGUAAGCGCAGCGAUGCGUUGAGCUAACCGGUACUAAUGACCCGUGAGGCUUAACCUU
rnacentral:rRNA from 1 species